rnacentral:snRNA from 1 species
GGAUGUGAGGGCAAUCUGGCUGCGAUAUCUGUCACCCCAUUGAUGGCCAGGGUUGAUUCAGCUGAGGGUUGAUUCGGCUGAUCUGGCUGGCUAGGCAGGUGUCCCCUUCCUCCCUCACUGCUCCAUGUGCAUCCCUCCCAAAGCUGUGCACUUGGAAGAAGAGGAAGACCUUCCCUGAUAGCAAAGGACCGUUUCUCGGUCAAGGGUACGUGGGUAGCUGCACUCCCCUGCUAGGACGUCCAAACAAGCUCUCAAGGUCCAUUUGUAGGAGAAUGUAGGGUAGUCAAGCUUCCAACAUUCCAGACACAUCCAAAUGAGGCACUGCAUGUGGCACUCUGCCUUUCUUU